UCAAACCUUGGCAUUGAUUGUUAAGAUCAGAUGAUGUAUAUUCUUCUUCCUGAUCCCGUUUAGUCAUCAACACUUUCUCCUUAAGGAAGACACGUUUGGGGUAGACAUGAUCGGAUCUCUACUUCCUUUUUCUCAAUUUCCUGUACACCGAUGUUGGUUCUCUACCUCCCUAGAAAAUGAUUCAACAGGUUUUGAGUCGAACUGGUGGUAUGCUCAAUUUGUAAUAUAUUUAUCUCUUGUAUCAGAUGCCAGAAUGUCAAAGUACGGUGGAAUGAUGUGAAAUUAUAACAAGUGAAAACACAAAAAUCAAUGAAGUCACAGAAUUCAGGGAAGAAGAAGAUAUAGAAUGAAAUGACGUAAUGAUGAAUAAUAACUAAUUCCAGGGAAUCUUCCUCUAUCACUAGUACAUACUAGGAGCCAAUUAGAAACCAAAGAAAAAUAAUGUAACAAGUACAAUAACGAGAUCUUACUUCCCUUUUAUUUUUCUCUCA